rnacentral:lncRNA from 1 species
CACGAGCCACACCCAUCUAACCCUAAUCCCCAUUCUCUCCUCCCUUCCUCAGCCGCCACAGCCGCCCGCGCCCGAUUCCGGCGAUUGCCGCGGCUAUCGCCGGCGUGGAGCACACCACCGAUCUCGCCUCGCUCUGGUCCAUCCUUCCCUCCAGCAAGAUUUCCCCCUCCUGGCUUCUACCGCUCGCCCAAAAUCCACUCCCGUGCUACGGUUUUUGACUCCGGCACCGCCUUCGUCGUCGGCGCAUCUCCGGCGGCUCUUCUUCGUCGUCUACGGCGCCCCCACGUGCGCCCUCGCCUCCUUAUGGUCCACCUUGAGCAGGGCGGCGCGGAGGAUCUCUUCCCGUAGGAUCCACGAACGCGGCGCACCCUGCAGUUGCCGGUACGGGACGAGGGCAGGCACGGCGAGCUUGUCCUUCUCGAGGACGAUGCCGGCGAACGUUGGUACUCCUCCUCGUCGACCUCUAAGGAGGAGCGCCAUUACAACAUAAGCACGCCCCGCCGCUGAACCCCCUUCUCCCCCCAUCCGGUGGCGUGCAGGACGUCAGCAAAUCCAGUACACCCUUGGCCCCUGCCUCCUGUCCUCUAGCUCCAACAAGGUUUUAUUUAUUUUUAAGGUACAUGAAUCUCUCGGGAACGAUUCUGAUAUUUAUGUACAUCGACUUGGUUCUUGAGCAGGAGGAGUUAAUGCAGAUUCAAUAUCAGAACCAUCAGAAGUUCAGGAUUGGACGUGGUGUUAUUUUGCUCCAGUUUCUUACAGAGUCAUAUAUGUACGUAUAUCUAUGUUGUCUGCAGUAUGCUAGUAUGUUCAAAUCAUUGAUCCAAUCCAUAUAUACCACAUUAAAAUUAUAUUACAGGCAUCGACAGUAUGCCAACGCAAUGCAAGCACAAUGUCUCUCGCUUUGUCAUCUUGAUAAACUGCACUUGUCAGUAUCUCUGCUGCUUAGAGUUGUAAGAGCCAUGGUUUUUGUUUAAAAAUUAAUUCUUCAUGUUUUUAUCCAAAAUUUACAUCUCUUGAAAAGCUUUCUGUUCCUACAUGGCAAAUGUUAUGACAGCUUUCUGUUCAUUUCCUACAUAAUAGUCGAAGGUAGGAGUUUGUGGCUUUGUGAUUGUAGUUGUAUAUCAUGAUGUGCACCAUGUGUUUUCUUAAACUGCAGAAAUUCUGUUACAAAAAAAUGGGUAUACAGGAGGGGCACAACUCAACUAAAUAGUUCAUUUAGAUGCCUAAUUGAGAGAUAAUAGGGUCCCAGCAGCGGUACAAUAUAGUCUGAGUUGUUUCUAAGAUAACUCAGACACCAGUUGGCAGGUUAUCAUAACUGUCACUUAGAGGCUGAUCUUUUACUAAUAAUUAUAGCUCAUUUAGAAGGGGAGCAUGACUCCAACAAUGGACAUGCACCUUUCUGUCAUUAAAAUUUAAAUGCUCAAUAUAGUUGUAUUUUUCACGUAUGUCGCAGUGGAGAGUCAAAAUAUGGCCUCUUUUUGUUAGGAAAUUAUAUCUUUGGAUAUUUUGGGUACAUUCCUUAAAUUUUUGCAUCCCAAUCUCUCCGUAAUACUCCUUCACUAUGUUUCUAAAUGUAUUUUUUUUGUUCUAAAAUAAUAUACUACAUUUUGCAUCAUGUAAAUGCGCUGGUUCUGAUCAUAACUCCACUUUUGUCCUGUAUGUUUUGCGAAAUGGAGUAAUUAACUUGAAUUGUUAAUGUGUUUCACAUCUUUGUCAUGUACAGUUCAUAUAGCUAAUGGCUCCUUGCAAAUGACUUUGACCCUACUACAACUGGUCAAAAUUUACAUGCAUAUUGUUUCUGUUGGGUUCACUUCAUAUAGGAGCGAAAUAUUAGAAGUUCUUGCAUUCAGGUUUAUGUGAGUUCUUACUAUGGCUCGACUUUGAUGUCGCACAAUUGUAAUAUCACGCCUUUGAAUGACCUUUUCAUAAUACUUUUGUUCAUGCAACCUGGUUCUGAGUACGUUUACGAUGAGCAUUAUUUUAGAUUGCAUAAUUAUUCUUUAUAGCAAUUUUUUCAGAACUGAUGACAGUGGGAAAGGCUCCCACUGACUUUAUAUUAAUAUGUUAGUGUGUCAAAACAGUCCAGUCAGUUUAUGUUACAUGAUGAGAAGGAGCUGGGGAGGGGUCAGGAGAAGUAAAUACAAGUGGCCUAGUAAGAAUUACAAUGUGGCUAUCAAAGACAGAAUGUAGGGGCCAACCUCCAGUUCAUAGAUAACAUAGGAAUACCUUUUCAAGCUUAAUUAGUGUUGUAAUAUCAUUGUUGUCGAGUAUAUUAUUAUGAUAUGUUUUUGCAAAAUAAUUAGCCUGUGUAGAAGCAUGUGUUGUUAACUAGUAUUAUCUAAUUGAUAUGCGCCUAGCACUUUUCAUCACCUAGUAUUUAGCUGGGCUGCAUGUCUUAUCGAGUUUAGUGUAGUGGAACUUUUUAUGUCAGAUAAGCACAAUGGAGUUUAGUUCUUUUCUCCCAACCAACUCUGUUGACCUAUGUAUGUUCAUCAUUACUUUUUGUUGUUGCUAGUUGUUUCGAUUAAAUUUGUUGCACCACUUUGCAUCCAGGGAGUGAAAAAAUAUAGAACCUUAUAACAUGUAGUUAGCUACUUCUAGUUUUACCUACUUGCUAUAUUAUUUUAUAAUGUGACAUAAUUUUCAUCAUGUGGCAGAUAUUCGUUUGGAGCAUUUUCAACAACAAAGACGUGCGUUAUGAUCACUUUGGUGUGCAGCCAGAAACAUGGGAUGACCCCUAGUUGAUGUUUUACGAGAGCUGGCCUCGGUUGAUUUGGGCGUUACUGGGUGUAGAGUAGCAUAGUGUUCUUUGAGACGUACUUGUAAAGUUAAUGUUUCCUGUGUUUUCUUUUUGCUCCCGUACUGGUAUACUAUUGGUGUAUUUUUGUAAUUUUCUUUUUUAAUGACAUGAGCAUAUAUUUUUCGUCAAAUUCUUAAUGGCUUGAAAUUUCCAUGGACCGAGAGAAAUGAGAGAUGGGCC